CCCCCCUCCCCCCCCCCCAAACCCUAGACUCCACAUAACUCGUCUCUCUCACACUUUCUCACCUCCGCCGUCCGCCACCCACAGGAAAUCGCCUACAGCGGCGGCGACACCCCAAACCACCCCAAAAUUGACACCAAAUAAUCUCUAACACCCCCUAAUCAUCAUCCUACCACCAAUUUCCCCAAAAUCCCCACCCAUCUUCUCCAAUUUCGGAUCUAAGAAAAUCAGAAAACCUAAAUAUGGUUUUUUCCCCGGAAAUUUCAAGUAUGUUUUGGUUCAAACUUACAUGAGUCAAUUGCUCUUGACACGAGCAAUCGAUUCAUGUUAGUUUGGUUCAUUUCGAAGCUCAUCGGAUUCUGGCCAACCCACCACUGACCGGUCAAGUUUCAUCGCCAUCGUUCGUUGAUUCGCCUCAAUCAUCGACUCAGCUUUUGGCCCAAAAUCAGUAAACCCCUUCUCUCUUGUUCCUUUGCUUCUUUUUUCUAAUUAUCAGUUAGGUUUAAUUUUUGAUUGUUUUGUUUGAUUGAUAGGAUUAUCUAGUUAAUUACAUGUUAAUUAGUUUUAAUUGCAUAAGUUGUUGGUUUAAUCAAUUUUAAGUAAUUAGAUGUUAAAACAAGUUAAUAGCUAAUUGGUUUGGUUUUACAUUAUUGCUUUUGUUUUAGCAAUGGGUUGUUUAUCAUUAUCCAUAAGUUUAAAAGGGACGUUUGGAAUUGGAAAUGGGUAGUUGAGUCUAUUGUUGAACUUGUUUGCUCUUCUGGGGUAGCUGUUUGUAAUUAACAAAAACUAAAGGAGUCAAAGGGAUCUGGAAAAUUAGGAAAUCUGGUUUGGUUGUUUGGGGAAGUCUCUAGAAGGGACUAAAGUGCAGGCAAAAACAUAUAGAGAAUAUCUGGAUAAGACAACUGUCCCAACAGCUCUCCAUUUUCAGUUUUAAAAGAUGCUUUUUUCCUGAAAUUUAGGAGUGGCCUGCUGAGAAUUAUUCCUCAUCCUUAGGAGCACAUGUCAGAUUUUAUUCCCUAUAUAUAGACCUCUUAUUUUUCACAGAUGAGGAAUACUCAGCUUCAUUCCUCUCCAAAUACAAUCAAGAAUAGACACAGAUUUUAGAAGGAAUUCUCUGAAAAUUGGAUCCUCUUUUCAUUUUUUCUGAGACUGCUUUCUUCUGGAGAAUACUGAAAAAUUCCAACGAGUCUUUUUCUCUGUUAAAUUGGCUAUAUAAAUUCUGGUUUGCUUCAAAAGAGUAUGAGAUAUCUAAAAUCUUUUGCUGUCAUUCUGCUCGUUUGGAAGAGAUUUAAGGUUGUUUUCUCUGGUUUGCUGCUGUUGAAUACUGGCUGAUUGGUAGUUGAUCUUCAUAUCUGGUUUUUCUUUGACCUUUAUUUGGUCGUGGAUCUAAUGUUUGAUUUCAAGUUACUAGGUAUGUGACUAUACCUUUGUAUUUUGCUGUUAAGAUGUUAAUCGAAAAUCUGAGUUACAUGUUAGUUUGUGAAUCCAUGUUAUUUGAUAUGAGAUUUAUCCACACUGAGUGGUCCAGUUGUGAUGUGUUUGUUGUCUCUGCAUUAUGAAGUUAGUAAUCCUGAUUGUUUUCAAUAUGUUUCUGCAUUUGUUUGUUUGUUUGGUUGAUAUUUGAAAUGCAUUUGAAUCCAGCCCUGUUGGAAAUCUUAUUUUGAUUAUCGUUUGGGACUGGUAAGUUAUGCAAAGGAUGUGAGAGCUUAUGGAGUCAGUUGAAGAUGUGAUGAUUGGGGUUCAAAAUUGUGAAAUUCCAACUUUGAGAUUCUUCUGUUCGUAACUCUGAGUUAGUCAUUUUAGAUUAGUUGUUCAAGCUAUGAUGUAACUCUUACUAUUAACCUCUCUUAGAUAGGUUUGAAGCAUGUAAAUGAACGAACUAUCCGUGUGCUGAAUCCAAUUUCUUUCGGUGCAUGAAGAGCGUUAUUUUAGGAUUUGUGUUGUCCUUUGCAUAAAUGGCGAGCUUUUGGGCCAGACUUGUACAGGCAGCCCAGUAUGGACAAGUCUGGACAUCUCAGGUGCUUUAACUUGGGAUGUUGAACCCAAUUUUCGUUUGUUCUGUUUCAUUUUGUGUAUUUCUCUUCUUAUAAUAAUAGCAGC
rnacentral:lncRNA from 1 species